rnacentral:rRNA from 1 species
CAGUCGCCGCGGGAAUACAGAGGGUGCGAGCGUUAAUCGGAUUUACUGGGCGUAAAGCGUGCGUAGGCGGCUUUUUAAGUCGGAUGUGAAAUCCCUGAGCUUAACUUAGGAAUUGCAUUCGAUACUGGGAAGCUAGAGUAUGGGAGAGGAUGGUAGAAUUCCAGGUGUAGCGGUGAAAUGCGUAGAGAUCUGGAGGAAUACCGAUGGCGAAGGCAGCCAUAUGGCCUAAUACUGACGCUGAGGUACGAAAGCGUGGGGAGCAAACAGGAUUAGAUACCCCAGUAGUCCCUGUCUCUUAUAC